rnacentral:rRNA from 1 species
GACGAACGCUGGCGGCGUGCCUAAUACAUGCAAGUAGAACGCUGAAGGAAGGAGCUUGCUCUUUCUGGAUGAGUUGCGAACGGGUGAGUAACGCGUAGGUAACCUGCCUGGUAGCGGGGGAUAACUAUUGGAAACGAUAGCUAAUACCGCAUAAAAUUGAUUAUUGCAUGAUAGUCAAUUAAAAGGUGCAACUGCACCACUACCAGAUGGACCUGCGUUGUAUUAGCUAGUUGGUGGGGUAACGGCUCACCAAGGCGACGAUACAUAGCCGACCUGAGAGGGUGAUCGGCCACACUGGGACUGAGACACGGCCCAGACUCCUACGGGAGGCAGCAGUAGGGAAUCUUCGGCAAUGGACGGAAGUCUGACCGAGCAACGCCGCGUGAGUGAAGAAGGUUUUCGGAUCGUAAAGCUCUGUUGUAAGAGAAGAACGAGUGUGAGAGUGGAAAGUUCACACUGUGACGGUAUCUUACCAGAAAGGGACGGCUAACUACGU